CCAGCAGCCGCGGUAAUUCCAGCUCCAGAAGCAUAUACUAAAUUUGCUGCAGUUAAAAAGCUCGUAGUUGAAUUUCUGGCUCGGUUGACCGUCGGUCAGGACGAACGUCCUUUCUGGUUACGCGUCGACUUUGCCAUCCUCGCGGCUCUCGGGCCGCGUCGUUCACUGUAAAGAAAGCAGAGUGUUCCAAGCAGGUCGUAGGACCGGUAUGUUUAUUAUGGGAUGAUGAGAUAGGACUUGGGUGCUAUUUUGUUGGUUUGCACACCCUGGUAAUGAUGAAUAGGAACGGCUGGGGGUAUUCGUAUUUAGGAGCUAGAGGUGAAAUUCUUGGAUUUCCGAAAGAC
rnacentral:rRNA from 1 species